GGCAGAAAGCAGAAAGUAAUAGCUGGCCAAGGUAGGUGUGUCUACUACCACAUCUGUCCAUUUUCUCUCAGGCUUAUCCACAGGUGACAGGGGAAACAUGUGACUCCCUUCGUACCUGGAAGACUCUGGCUCAACUAUGGCCAAAGCUGAUGAAGAGGAACAUGCAAAUAGUCAAGAACAUAUGAACACAAUCAGGAAAUGGGAAUACUUCUAAGGUCCUUUUAUUCAAUCAUUUCCUGAGCUGGCUAGAUGCAAAGCCCAGCGAUGAUGCUGGGGCUAAGAGACACAGGAAAAGAAGAGAUUUGCCUUAUAUCUGAGUCCUUACCCUGUCUCUCAUUAUAGGACAUGAGCUCAAAUAUCUUAAUUUGAAGAAUGAAUUAUUGAACCAAAACUGACGGCAACAAUGCUGGUUUGGGAUAAUUAUGGAGGUACACUUAAUUAUCACAUUUAAAAACACAGAAAAAAAUUUUGAAAAGAACAAUUUUCAACAAACUCUAUGUAUUCUAGUGAUUGAACAAGAAAUUAUAGAGUUUUAAGGAGAGCAACCAAAGAAAAAUGAAAUACUAAGCUUGGGGAGACAUUUUAGACAGAACAAAGUGAUAUGAUGCUCCUUGUUAAUUUGCUCAAGAAAUGACAGCCAGUAGCUUUCCUUCAUUAUAUCAAUAGUGAAGUUUACCAGGAAUGAUCUUAGACUUCCCCUGGAUGCCAUGAAACUUAAGCCAAGAAGAUCUCAAAAGCCUUUACAAGACAAACCGGGAAGAGGAAAAGUAUUAG